rnacentral:lncRNA from 1 species
CAGAUAUUCUCUAUACUCUCUGUUUAAAAACUUUUUUAUUUGGAAAUAAUUUUAAGCUCACAGAAAAGACUAGAGCAAGUUUAUCUUUUUUAAAAGUGUCUUUAUUUUAAAAGAACUUUAAAAAAAAAUUAUAAACAGAGUCGCAGCUGAAUGUGGUGGUGUACACCCCUGUAAUCCCAGCACUCUGCGAAGCUGAGGCCACAGGAUCACAAGUUUGACCCCAACCCUGGCAAUUUAGCAACUUAUUGAGACCUUAAAAUAAAACAAAUAAUAAAAUAAAAGGGCUGGGGAUGUAGCUCAGAGAAUCACAACCCAAUACCAGAAGAGAGAGAGAGAGAGGAACCAGAUUCCCAGAAUGUACAUAGAAAACAAGCUCAUUCAUGACCCUACCAUCCCAAAGUAACUUGUCAUUCUUUGGGUAUAUUUCUUUCUGGUCUUUUUUCUAUGUUUAUAUACACAUUUUUUUUUUUGUACCGGGGAUCAAACUGAGAUCCUUACACUUGUGAGGCAGGCGGUGGAACCACUGAGCUAAAUCCCCGGCCCAUAUAUGUGUACUUGUCACUGGACUAUUUACCCAGAGGCUAACCCCAUCCCCAAAACCUUCCUGACCAGUGUUCACAUGUACUGAGAGUCCCAGAGUCUUAAUUCCCAAAUUCCUCCCCAAGUAGCCUGUCAGGAGCAAGACACAUUAAUCCAAGUUUUUGUUUUCUGAAUGUCUUCUUUCCGUUUCAAUAUUUCCUUUAUUUUUGUUGUUCUUUGGUGAUAGUGGUCGAUUUCCAGGGUGGGAGAAGUUGCCCACGGCUCCCUGAGCCACCACCCUUCCACGCAGUCUCCCAGCUGGUAUGGCCACCCUCUCGCACCUGAGCGUCCACCUCCCCGUGGUGCACGCUUGAAGCCUCCUGAAGCAAGUGCUGGAAGCAGAAAGCAGCAGGGCCCAGUGCUGUCAACACCACCACGCACACUCAUGCCAAUCCUGGCCAGGCCUCUGGAUGGGCUGGGCUGGGCUGGGCCCCUGGCUCUGGGUGGUGAGUGCCCAGGGGUGAGAGAAACGGAGGGCCUUCUGUCCUCACAGGUGGGAAAGAGCAGAAGGCAGGAUGACCCACUUCAAAACUGGCUCUUUUCAAAGGGGUGUGGGAUGACUGGGGGGCUGCUGUAAGUGGGUCAACCUUCAUGUGCACGUUGCUGUUCCACGCUUUAAAAUGUGGCAUUAAACAUCUGUAUCCUGUUUUCAUUAGCUUGUACGACACAGUGAUGGGGACCUGCCCAGUGUUCUGAAGUAGCAAGUGUGCCCACAGGCUAAUAAACAACAGGUGCCUCCAAUAAAUAGGAAUUUAAUACUUGAUGUAAAUGUGAGUG